AAACCAACCAGCUCCUGCUACUGUCUUCUCUAUCUCCACCAAACGACAAUCACAAUGGGUCCUCUCCUCCAUUCUGAACCCUGUUCUCAUUCUGAGAUGAGAUAGAUGUACGAGUCAGACCACUAGACAACCGCCUGAUAGGGUGAUCAACAAACUCUGAACCUUCAAUGACCCUUCUCUAUCCCUCAGCCCACGAACCCCACAGCCCUGCAGAAACAACAACUGGGUCUGGUUUGGCAGAACAUGGUGGAGGGAUGGCCUGAUUCUCUCUGUCCUCUCCCUCCUGUUGUUCUCUGAGGUGGAGGGAUGGCCUGAUUCUCUCUGUCCUCUCCCUCCUGUUGUUCUCUGAGGUGGAGGGAUGGCCUGAUUCUCUCUGUCCUCUCCCUCCUGUUGUUCUCUGAGGUGGAGGGAUGGCCUGAUUCUCUCUGUCCUCUCCCUCCUGUUGUUCUCUGAGGUGGAGGGAUGGCCUGAUUCUCUCUGUCCUCUCCCUCCUGUUGUUCUAUGAGGUGGAGGGAUGGCCUGAUUCUCUCUGUCCUCUCCCUCCUGUUGUUCUCUGAGGUGGAGGGAUGGCCUGAUUCUCUCUGUCCUCUCCCUCCUGUUGUUCUAUGAGGUGGAGGGAUGGCCUGAUUCUCUCUGUCCUCUCCCUCCUGUUGUUCUCUGAGGUGGAGGGAUGGCCUGAUUCUCUCUGUCCUCUCCCUCCUGUUGUUCUCUGAGGUGGAGGGAUGGCCUGAUUCUCUCUGUCCUCUCCCUCCUGUUGUUCUAUGAGGUGGAGGGAUGGCCUGAUUCUCUCUGUCCUCUCCCUCCUGUUGUUCUCUGAGGUGGAGGGAUGGCCUGAUUCUCUCUGUCCUCUCCCUCCUGUUGUUCUCUGAGGUGGAGGGAUGGCCUGAUUCUCUCUGUCCUCUCCCUCCUGUUGUUCUAUGAGGUGGAGGGAUGGCCUGAUUCUCUCUGUCCUCUCCCUCCUGUUGUUCUCUGAGAUGGAGGGAUGGCCUGAUUCUCUCUGUCCUCUCCCUCCUGUUGUUCUCUGAGAUGGAGGGAUGGCCUGAUUCUCUCUGUCCUCUCCCUCCUGUUGUUCUCUGAGGUGGAGGGAUGGCCUGAUUCUCUCUGUCCUCUCCCUCCUGUUGUUCUCUGAGAUGGAGAGAUGGCCUGAUUCUCUCUGUCCUCUCCCUCCUGUUGUUCUCUGAGGUGGAGGGAUGGCCUGAUUCUCUCUGUCCUCUCCCUCCUGUUGUUCUCUGAGGUGGAGGGAUGGCCUGAUUCUCUCUGUCCUCUCCCUCCUGUUGUUCUCUGAGGUGGAGGGAUGGCCUGAUUCUCUCUGUCCUCUCCCUCCUGUUGUUCUAUGAGAUGGAGGGAUGGCCUGAUUCUCUCUGUCCUCUCCCUCCUGUUGUUCUCUGAGGUGGAGGGAUGGCCUGAUUCUCUCUGUCCUCUCCCUCCUGUUGUUCUCUGAGGUGGAGGGAUGGCCUGAUUCUCUCUGUCCUCUCCCUCCUGUUGUUCUAUGAGGUGGAGGGAUGGCCUGAUUCUCUCUGUCCUCUCCCUCCUGUUGUUCUCUGAGAUGGAGGGAUGGCCUGAUUCUCUCUGUCCUCUCCCUCCUGUUGUUCUCUGAGGUGGAGGGAUGGCCUGAUUCUCUCUGUCCUCUCCCUCCUGUUGUUCUCUGAGGUGGAGGGAUGGCCUGAUUCUCUCUGUCCUCUCCCUCCUGUUGUUCUAUGAGGUGGAGGGAUGGCCUGAUUCUCUCUGUCCUCUCCCUCCUGUUGUUCUCUGAGAUGGAGGGAUGGCCUGAUUCUCUCUGUCCUCUCCCUCCUGUUGUUCUCUGAGGUGGAGGGAUGGCCUGAUUCUCUCUGUCCUCUCCCUCCUGUUGUUCUCUGAGGUGGAGGGAUGGCCUGAUUCUCUCUGUCCUCUCCCUCCUGUUGUUCUCUGAGGUGGAGGGAUGGCCUGAUUCUCUCUGUCCUCUCCCUCCUGUUGUUCUAUGAGGUGGAGGGAUGGCCUGAUUCUCUCUGUCCUCUCCCUCCUGUUGUUCUCUGAGGUGGAGGGAUGGCCUGAUUCUCUCUGUCCUCUCCCUCCUGUUGUUCUAUGAGAUGGAGGGAUGGCCUGAUUCUCUCUGUCCUCUCCCUCCUGUUGUUCUAUGAGGUGGAGGGAUGGCCUGAUUCUCUCUGUCCUCUCCCUCCUGUUGUUCUCUGAGGUGGAGGGAUGGCCUGAUUCUCUCUGUCCUCUCCCUCCUGUUGUUCUCUGAGGUGGAGGGAUGGCCUGAUUCUCUCUGUCCUCUCCCUCCUGUUGUUCUCUGAGGUGGAGGGAUGGCCUGAUUCUCUCUGUCCUCUC